GAUAGGGCUCCCAAGGGGCUCCUGAGGCCCCAUUCCCAUCCAAGGAGCACUUGGCAGCCCGUGGUUACUACAGCAAGGAGAUUCACUUUCCUUUGAGGUGGGGCCACUGACAGGUUGCCUGUGCCUUUGUGAAUAAUCCCACAGCUGUGCACAUGUGGACAGUACUGGUUCCAAAAAAGUCUUGAAGUUGGAAAGGGAGAUUAAACUGGGUUUUGCAUGGAAGGAUUAGGUGGUGGAUUUGCUUAAGAUAUUUUGUAUACCUCUGUGAAAUUAAAACAAAACAUGAGUAAUUAUAUAUUUAUGGCCCAAGGAAGAAAUUGGUCCCAUGUUAACAAUGCUUAGGAGCUUUAAGUUAAAGCUCAGGAACUCUGCCAACCUUACAGCUGAGGGGCACACAGAAUUAAUUUUUGUUUAUACAUCUUAAUAAAAAUUGUUUUCUGAAAGGAUUUGAGAAGCUCAUCCACGUAAGUUUAUAAAUGGAUUCUAAUACUAAGGGCAAGAUUUCCAUGAACAAUGUUGGACCCCCAUCCUCCCAGCCAAACCUUAAACCUGAAGAAUAGAGCUGAAAAUAGAUUUUUUUGGUAGCAAGUACAUAAGGUCCUACGACUGGUGGCACAUCUUACAGUAUAACAUUCUGAAACUCUUAGCUAACUGCCUCUCUUUCUGUUACUUGAAUUCAAGUCCUCCUCACUUCUUCAAUUACUGAUAAUUAUUUUUUUUUCUUACCCUCCAUUUUCUUAUCUCCGAAGUGGAAAUAACAACAUGGAAUUUUCAGGCUGUCGUGAGAUAAAUACAUUCAGUGUGUCCAUCAACAAGUGUACCGCUUACUUGGAGACCCACUCUGACCCUGAUUGUUGAUAUCUGGAGACGGUGCACUCAGCUUACUGGAUAGAUUUGGAGGAAUAACUUAUCUAUAUUUCCCCUCUCUUUACUCAAAACAUUUACCAUCCUUCAUCUUGCUUGUUUCUGCUGGAGAACAGAAAACAGGUCUAUCGAAGUAUCAAAACAUUAAUAAUCAAAUUUCACAAUUACUUUGUUGGCCUUGAUAUACUUUCUGAAUUCCAACCCGAUAGCUUGCUCUUCAACUUCCUUCCCAUUUCUCAUGCCUUCGUUUUUUUAUGAAGUGGGGCCUCGUUAGUAACCGACUGCUAAGGAGAAAGAACUGGCAAAGCCCCUAGAUCUAACAUGCCUAAGGGCUAUGGAAUGCCACAGCUUUUGUUUUUCUUAGCUAGAAGAGAUGCAAAUAUUUAACCAUGAAUCAUCUGAGCCAGGACUUCCUCAUGGACACAGUGGCAGGCCUUGCAGAAUCUUUCUUUUGUCAAUGUCUGGAUAAUCAGGGGCCUUGGAGGAUAUUUACUCAACUUCUGAUCAGGCUCUGCUCCUCCUUUUCCGUGCAAGUGCCCUCUGGAAAGUCUCAGCUCUCGGAUUAUUUUCUCUAGGAUUCCACUGAGCCUUUCCAUAUUCGCGAUAAGUGGAAAGCUUUCACAAUUCCAAUCCAACACAUUCUUCUGCUGCCUUUUGUUACUCAGUCAACAAACACUGCAGAGCACCUUAGGCAUGCCAGACAGGACCACUCUGGAAAAGGUUGGAAAGGACACGUUCCAAAUAGAAGAAAGUGAAGUCUGCUAUGUGAUAUAGAUGAGUUUAAAGGAAGGAUUGUACUAAAGCGGAGGAUGGAGUGUGUGGGGGCCAUGUGGGGUACAGGUUAUUCAUUGUACAUGAGGGAGAACAGGAAAGAAGAUCUAUGAGAGAUUUGCAGAGGAAAUUGUACUUCAGUGUCGAUGAACAGAAGUCCCCAGAGGGGCUGUGGAGACUUUAUUCCAAGCUGAGGCUUGACACACAGGAAAACACAGCAGGAAGAGUGAUUGUGCCAGCAGUGCACCUUUAAUCCCAGCAAUCUGCAGGCAGAGACAGGUGGAUCUCUGACCUUGAGGCCAGACUGGUCUAAAGAGCUAGUUCCAGGACAGUCAGGGCUACACAAAGAAACCUUGUAAAGGUGGGGGAGGGGGGGAGGGGGAGGGGGGGAGGGGGAGGGAGAGAGAGAGAAUGAACUUCACAGCUAGAAAUCAGUAUGCAAGAAGAGAAUAUAUAUAUUCUAUACAUGUUGUCAUAGACAAGAAUUGGAUAGUAGGUACUAUAUCCCAAAGUUCAGCUGUCUAGAGACUGUGGUGUUUGUGACAAUGUCCUAUUGUAUAUCUCCUUAGGAAAGGAUUUAAUGAGUACAGGGGGAAAUUAGCUUUAAUCAGAUAACAAUGAAUAGAUAAUUGUUUAAUUUUAUUAAAGUAGUAAGUUCUUCCCAUACUUUCUGCUUAUUCCCUUACUCAUAGAAAUUAUAAUUAAAACAUUAACAAUCCUUUGAGGAUAUGUUUUUUUUUUUCUAAAAUUCUACUUUAAGUGUUUUAAAACCUCUCAUAUUUACUAAAGUUGCCCUAACAUGCCCAGCAUACUGCCCAAAGCAUAACGAUUUAAGAGAACUCCUGCAAGCUAAGGAAACAACUGGACGCAUGUGGUACAUGUGUGCUGUAUAAGGAAUGCCGUGGGGCAGGUAAAGAAUGCUUAUGGAUUUUGCCAUGUGAUCUGGAUCAACUGUAAAGUGAGAAAAAUCAACAUGCAGAAUAUUACAUUUAAUACAACCACAUUUUCAAAUGCCAGUGAUUUCCAUUUUCAUGGAUAUAAAGCAUAUACGUAGAAGAACACACACAGGUUUUUGAGGAUUUCCCAAAUAGACAACUCUGAGAACAGGAUGAUGUGUGACAGCCACGAUGAAAAGGACAUGAUACAGUCCCGCUAUGUCUGCGUGGGUGUAAAAUGAUACAGGCAAGCUAUUGCAAUUCCAUCUUUUAAUGAUGCCAUAUUUUAGAGGAAUAGGAUUUGGGGUCACUUUCUCUGUUUAGGUAUAUUUAGGGAUUCAUUUCAUUUUUUAUAAUGAUUAAUGUAUUUAUGAAAUUAAAAGUAUUCUUGGAAGUUGUGCAUUCACAGCUCAGUGUGUAUCAUUCAUGGAUAAGCAAGAAGGUGGCACAAAGCCACAUGGUUUACUCAUUCAUCGCAUCUGUUUUGAGUCUGAAGUUCCUAGGUUUGGAACCCAGUUCUUCUUAUUACCCGCGUGACCAAAAGUAUGUAUGUAAUUCUGCCAUGGCUCCAGUUUCCUUACCUCUAAAUUAGCCAAGGUAAUAGCACCUACCUCUGUAGCGUUGUGAAGGGAAUCAGUCAAUAGUUACUUUUAAGUCACUUUGAUUUGUGCUUAAAAGAAUUUGAUUAUUACAUUAAACAAAUCACUACAUUUGCCUUACUUAGGGUUUCUGUUGCCACAAUGAAACACCAUGACC
rnacentral:lncRNA from 1 species